UGGUUGAUGGUGAUAACCUUAUAUUGUCCUGAAGAGAGGUGAUGACUUAAACAUCAUGCUCAAUAGGAUUAUGCUGAGGCCC
rnacentral:snoRNA from 1 species